rnacentral:rRNA from 1 species
AGGUUUCCGUAGGUGAACCUGCGGAAGGAUCAUUAUUGAAUGAACUUGGUGUGGUUGUUGCUGGUCCUCUCCGGGGGGCAUGUGCACACCCACCAUCCUCAUCUCCCCACCUGUGCACCUUUUGUAGACUUGGAUAGACUUUCCGAGGCAACUCGGUCGGAGGAAUGCUGCCCUCUUUGGGUCAGCUUUCUUUGCAUUACCAAGCCUACGUUUUUUUAUAUACCCCAUAGUAUGUAACAGAAUGUAAAAUUGGGCCCCAGUGCCUAUAAACCUUAUACAACUUUCAGCAACGGAUCUCUUGGCUCUCGCAUCGAUGAAGAACGCAGCGAAAUGCGAUAAGUAAUGUGAAUUGCAGAAUUCAGUGAAUCAUCGAAUCUUUGAACGCACCUUGCGCUCCUUGGUAUUCCGAGGAGCAUGCCUGUUUGAGUGUCAUAAAAUUCUCAACCUUUAUUAGCUUUUGCUGAUUAAUGGCUUGGAUGUGGGGGUUCUCUUUUGCCGGCUUCUUCAGAGGUCAGCUCCCCUUAAAUGCAUUAGCUGGUGCCCCGCGUGGACUGUCUAUUUGGUGUGAUAAUUAUCUACGCCGUGGAUAUCUGCAAUGGGUUGUGCACUGCUUAUAACCGUCUGUUCAUUUGGACAAUACAUGACAAUUUGACCUCAAAUCAGGUAGGACUACCCG